rnacentral:rRNA from 1 species
AUGGUCUAUGCUACAAGUGCUUUGAGGAAGGGCACUUCAAAAAAGACUGCACCAAUCAAGUUGUCUGCUUUCGCUGCAAGAUGCCUGGCCAUGAGUCUAAGGAUUGCAAGAGGCCGAGGAGCCCCUCGUCGGAGGAGGAGCUCAGGAGGUCGACGGCAGCCAAGGUUGCGCGCAGAGAGGCGCCUCUGCGUGCUCCUGGGGGUGGUCCAUCCAGGAUGUCGCCGCCCCCCUCCCCCUCCUGCAUCUUCCCCUGCUAUCUGGCCAAGCCUCUGCAUUCCCCGCCUCGAGCGCUCGCCACCAGAUGAUAUGAGAUCACAUGAGCUCUGCGUCGUCCGGCGCACCGGGAGCAUGGCUGACCUUGAGAGGAGGCUGCAGUUUGCCAUGGUGGCGUAUGUUGGAGGGGCUCCGCAUGAUAUCUCGCCGGAGUUCGUUCUGCAAGCUCUGGAGGCAGUGGGUGGUGUCAAGCCAGAGUGGGUGUCGGUGCACUGCUUCAGACCGGAGGACUUCCUGGUUGUUUUUGCACGACAGGAGCACCGCAAUUUGGUGGCGGCGAAGCCGUUCAUCGAGUAUCAAGGAAUCCGUCUCUUCUUCCGGCAGUGGAAUCGACAAGCGCAAGCUGUGCAUUCGCAGUUAAAUUACAAGGUGUCGCUCGUGCUUGAGGGAAUUCCGCCGCAUGCGUGGGAGCGUGAGAUUGCGGAAGACCUGCUGGGCACUUCUUGCCUGGUGGAUAUGGUGGCGCCAGAGUCCAGCUCACGCCGGGACCUGUCGGCAUUCAAGCUCACGGCCUGGACUGCGGAACCGGAUUCCAUUCCCUCGCUCCGAUGGUUGGCAAUUCCAGAGCCUGAGCUGGUGGCACCCCUGUCGUUGCCGCCUUUGCUGCAAUACAAAGUGCUAAUCCAUCUGGACUCUGUGGCGGAUUAUAGUGAGUGGGAUGAGCCGCUAUUCCUGGGCGUUUCAUCGGGCAGCGAUCAAAGUGGGGUGCCGUCAGAUGGGAGAAUCAGUGGUGGUGCUGCGCCUGCGGUUGUUCCUAGGUGUCUGCCAUGGCGUUUCGGUGCACGGGACUCUCGCGGCCAAGGGGUGGGCAGCUCUUCCGGCAAGACACCGGACACUCCGGCCACCGGAGAUAGCUGGCGCCUCCCGCCGAUGGAGAAUAGGAUGAUGGUGACAGCUGGAGGUGCCGUCAUGCCGAUACGAGAUAGGUUGUCUGUCAGGACUUCAGCUUUUGACCGGCUGACCACGCACGAUGGAGUGGCUGUGGUGGGGCAAAGAAAUUUGAACUUGAGGCCCGGGAACGAGGAGAUUGUGCCUUGCCAGCCAAUUAGUGCUGCAGAGGCGGACCGCCUGAUUGCCCCAGAUGGUGGCCCGAGUCCGCAAGGGGGACCCGCAGAUACAGCUGCUACUUUGGGAAAAGAGAAAGAAGCUAUGCUGCACUUGGGAGAUGCGACAACCGAGGAUCCUCUACUUUGCCCAAUAAUUGAGCAGGCAAAGACAGCGCCAGUGCGUGUGGUGGAUCCAACGCAGCUCUCACCUCGCGGAGAGGAAGAAUCGCAGCCUGAAAUGAUUGAGCAUAGAACACGUGGAGAGGACGAUCUGCACCUAGGAACGAGUGAGCAUCAACUGCAAGGGACAUGUAUGCAGCCUGAGGUGGGUCCAGGGGAUAAUGCAACAGUUGUGGACAAAGGCGACAAACACAUCGGGAUGACUUCCCAGGUGGAUCUGGAACUGAAUGCGAGUGUACCUGCCAAGCAUCUCUGCGACCAAGAGGGUGGCGCUGCUUCCGAGGCCGCUGGUGGGCUCAGCACGGAAAUCCUUGGCGAGACAAGGCACAAUGUGCGGGCCUCUGCCGAGGAAUCUCAGCAGCUACCAAUUGAGGGCGAGCGGGUGUUGGCUUGUGAUUCGCUGCAUGGCGCACUGCAUGGCGCUCUGGAUGUGACUACGUCCCGAGCGGCUACAAGCGAUUUGCACAGGGGAGUGGACGUUCUGGAGAGCAGACCAUGCACAGAAAUGGCCUUGUAUGAGAGGGAGAUACUCUCAGAAGUGCAUGACUCAGUCCAACAAGGAAUGACAACAUCAGAGGCGAUUGCUUUCGCUAAGCUGAAGGCCUUCUGCUCAUGUAUUGUUAAGAAGCUGGCUCCCCCACUACUGAAGGAAAUUCAGGCCUCAACCCUACACCCGGCUUUUGAGCCAUGCACGCCUAGGCGCACCACUCGAGCCACGAAGCGCAUCGCGGGGACAGGAGUUUCCAACGCGUCGCCUGCUGAAAAUGUUCUUCUUCGGACGCUAGGAAUUGCGGCAGAGGAUCUCACGGUUGACGAUCGAGCAGUGGAAGAGCUCAAGGGGCUGUUUGACUCGCCUUUACGCGAGCAACACAUCCGAGUGAUUGCAGCUCUGUUUGGCAAGACCCUGCCUCUCGGAGGGGCCCUUGCCCCGCAAGACUCGGUGGCUGUGAGCGCACAGUAG